AUGUUAGGUGGAUGCUGCUAUGCUGCGCGAGCCUUCUGCCUCGACCCAGAAAUAGCUGGCCUGCAGAUGUGUGCGAGAUUUUGUUUAGUCUAUCAUGGCUAUUGCUGUGGAGCAAACUUGGUGUUGCUCCUCAAUAUCCAGGCUCCCACCCACAGGCACAGGCACACGCAGCCUGGCAGGAGAUGCCGAGCCUGCUCGCCUCAAACCUGGGGCUGCAAAGCCACGGGGAGGGCUGGCGAGCCAGGGGAAGGGCAAGGCAGCAGGAGAGAGGGGCUCUGGGCUGCUCUCAGGGUCAGGGUCUUGCUCCCCGUUCCCCGUUCUGCUGGACCACGCUCCUGGCUCUGCAGCCUCCUUGUCCCUCACCAGGCUCGGAAGCGCUUGAUAAGAGAGAGGAAGAGGGACUGCGGCAAGAGAGCCGCACGGAGGAACUCAAACACCGCGAUUCGCCAGCGGCAGGCGUCCCUUCGCUGCAGAGGCAGUGACAGAUAUCCCCCUGAACCCCAAGCGCGAGCACCACGCACACUUUGGCCCUUGUUCCCACCAAGCCCGGGGCAGAGGAGCACACAGGAGCUAUUCUCCCCCAGCUCCCCGCGAUGUCCCCAGCCCGCGCCGAGGCUGAGCCUCGCCGGCCUGCUCCUCGCCCAGGCCUCGCUUUGCGCCGCCCGGCGCCGUUCGUGCGAGGCCACGUCCCCUCCUGAGCCCCAAAUCACCCCAAAGCGCCCGUAUUCCAAAUCGGGGCUUGGAUGCCAGCACAGCCACAAGGGCACGCGCCACAGCCCCGCGGCAGGCAGGGCUCCAGCCAAACCCACCCUCGUGCCGGGGUCGCCGUCCCCGAAUCCCCCCCCCAAGCCGCAGCAGGAGCGGUGUCCCGUUCUCGGAGAGCACCGACCGCUGUCGGCGGAUAAUCCCUUCAUUAGCGCGGCCUCCCAAAUAAUCCCAUUGAGAGGUUCGCACACGCAGCACGGUUUAAAACAAGCCGUGCCGCAGGUCCCGGGGCGAGGGGCAGGCUGCCGUUGCGAGGUGCCUUUGUGUUGGCUGAUGAGCUCCCUUCCACGGCUGCUGAAGCGGGCUGCGCCCCUGCCCCUUCGCACGGCACUAAUGGGUCUUUGCUCGAUGCACGACAGCGUGCUGGAUGGAGAGGCCACGAAAGUCUCAGCCCACCUCGUAAGAGCACAUACGCCUUAA
rnacentral:lncRNA from 1 species